AUUGAACGCUAGCGGGAUGCUUUACACAUGCAAGUCGAACGGAGUGGCGGACGUGUGAGUAAUCUAUCGGACCGUGCCCAGUAGCGGGGGAUAACUACUCGAAAGAGUGGCUAAUACCGCAUACUAUUGGAGCGGCCGAUAUCGGAUUAGCUAGUUGGUGGGGUAAAGGCUCACCAAGGCCACGAUCCGUAGCUGGUUUGAGAGGACGACACGCAACACGGGGACUGAGAAACGGCCCAGACUCCUACGGGAGGAAGCAGUGGGGAAUUUUGGACAAUGGGGGAAACCCUGAUACAGCCAUCCCGCGUGUAUGAUGAAGGCCUUCGGGUUGUAAAGUACUUUUGGCAGAGAAGCGGUAUCUGCAGAAGAAGCACCGGCUAACUACGUGCCAGCAGCCGCGGUAAUUC
rnacentral:rRNA from 1 species